CCUUGUUAAGGAUAAAGACAUUCAAAUGACAAGUCAGCGUUUCCCUUCAUAUCAGAAACAUAAUGAGAGUGCCAGGCGUUUCCCAGUUAAUCCAUUUAAGACCUUUAUUAUCUUAUUAACCUUGAAUCAAAAAGGUGUGGCAGAAGCAAAGAUAGUAGAGAAAGAGGUUAUAUUCAAUGCACGCAAAGGCCAGAGCUGGUCAAAUUUGAAUAAAACGGUUAAUUAUAACGCUUAACCUCGCUGUGAGAGUAAAUGUAUUUGUAAGGUAACACUGCACGAAAACUACAGGAGCAACUGUGCAUUUUUCUCUUCUGCAAACUAGCAGACCACUUUGCUAAGGUCUCUGGCAGGCUACAGAGUUAGCCGAAACGGCUAACUUAAAUCCUCCAGUGACUUAAGUUGGAGGAAGAUUUUCCAUCAAGUCUGGGCAUCCGAUGAAACUGAAGCACCUUCCAGUAAAAGUGGAGUAGUGUGUGUUCAUAGAGAACGAUGCCACGCUUGCAGUCCGGUGUGUGGAAGCAUUUUACCCCAGCCAUCAAAGAUGGAAGAGAGACCUUCAUGUGCAACUACUGCUCAAAGACAUACACAAAGAACGCGACUAAGAUGCAGAUGCAUUUAGACAAAUGCAAGGAGUACUCUGUGGUUUCGCAGCAGUCGCCGGGCCCAGAUGGGAGCUCCUCUGCCUCCAUCCCUGUUCCCUCCUUAUCAUUCUUGCCAUCUGCCACUCCUGGGGGACAGUUCCUCAUUGAUUCUGUGGACCAGCGCAGCCAGGCGUAUGCCGACGAGUGCCUGGCGAGAGCUGUGUACGCCACAUCUUCACCCCUCACUCUCACAGACAAUAUUUACUGGAAACGAUUUUUCAGUGUGCUUCGGCCGGCUUAUUGUCCGCCCCCUAAAGAGGCUCUUUCCUCACAUCUGUUGGACUGUGAGUUUGACAGAGUACAAAGCCAGGUUCAUGAGAGCAUAGGGAAAGCAGACUGCGUCGCCAUCAUCAGCAGUGGCUGGUCUAACGUGAAAGAAACUGGGACUAUUAUCUAUGCUGUUGCUACUCCCGUACCGCUGUUUUACAAAUGCACGAUGACAAAGGAGCAGACACACACAAGCGAAUUUAUUGCUGAGGAACUUAAAGGCGUCAUAAAUGAAGUCGGCUCACAAAAGGUUUUCGCUGUCGUCACCGACGAUGUCCCGGAAAUGAUGGCAGCGUGGGCUCAAGUGGAGGAAGCUUUCCCGCACAUCUCAGCUAUUGGCUGCACAGCGUCCGGUGUCGAGCGUCUCUUUGACGACAUAGUGGCGCAGCCGUCUAUGAAGUCACUGUGCAGGAGAGCUGAGCAGGUGGUGAGGUGUGUUCAAGAACAGCAAAUGUUAAGUGAGACUUUUAGGUGCUGGCAGACUACAAAAAUAAGAAACCACACUUUUAAAGGGACAGCACUGGAACUGCCCUCUGGCACAAACUGGACUGGUGUGGUUAACAUGUUCAGCAGCCUCCUCGAGGGUCAGAACUCUCUACGAGAGAUGGCAGUCUCUACCACACUGGAUAUUGAAGUGACUGUCAGGGCUACCUUGCAGGAUGCCGCGUUUUGGAAAGGGCUGAGCAGCAGUCGGAACUUACUGUACUUGAUUGGGAAUUAUAUUGAUUUCUUGAAAAGAGAAGAUGCCGCACUCUCUGGUGUUGUCGACAUGUUCAGUCAGCUAAGAUACGUCAUCGGGACUUCUCUGUCAGCAUCUGUGCUGCACAGCGCCGAGCAGAAAGCGGUCAUGGCAUCAUUAGACAGGUGUCAGGAGUUCUGCGUGAAACCUAUCCACGCAGCAGCGUACAUGCUCGAUCCAAAGCACGUCGGACAGCAGACGCUCACCGGGGAGCAGAUAAACAGCGCUUACUACGUGAUAUCCAACCUGUCGCACCAUUUGAAUCUCGACGAGGGUAAAGUGCUCGGCAGCUUUGCCAGGUUCUCGGCCAAGCAGGGACUGUGGAAGGGGGCCGGAAUAUGGAGCUCGUGUCAGCACGUGUCCGCAUCCACGUGGUGGAAAGGCCUGUGCUCUUCUGAGCCGCUGUCUGCCGUAGCCUUCGCUAUACUCCAGAUCCCACCGACAACAGGUGCGUGCGAGCGCCUGUGGCAGCACCUCCGUAGUACGAAGGUGAAAGGCUUUGUCUCACCGGAGAGGGUGCAGAAACUUGUCGCAGUGCAGGCAAAUCUCAAUCUUUUAGAGCCAAGUGACUUCGACUAUGCUCCACUGGAGAGUGACGAAGAGAAAAAGGCUUCAUUUCAAUCAGAGUCUCACCAGUAAGAAAAAUGCCUUACAGUGUAAUAGAAUACAACUAUUAGACUAGAUGUAUUCCUUUCAGUGUACAGGAUUUGAACUACUCUAUAAAAGUAAGUAAACUGCACCGUGCUCAUGUUUCUUUAUUCAAUCCAAGGCUUUUAGAGAAAACACCUUCAUAAGGAGACACUGAAUCAGAUGCCUUCAUGUGUUUUAGUGAAUUCAAGUUUUUUUGUAUUACAUAAUCACGUAGUAUGUAUCAACUUUUUAAUCACAACGUAAAAUAUUAACACAACAACAAGGUCAUAUAUUUCUUACAGCAACUAAACCAUGUAAAUAAAACCACUGUAUUUAUUGAAGAUAACACUUUUGUCUCUUUUGCGUUUAUGCCUGCAUGUCAAACACCUUCACCUUCACACACAUUAAAAAGUGUUUCUGCACAAAUGUUCUUCAGAAAUACACCACAAUAAUUUUAACAAGUUAGAUCUAAUCUUUAUAGUGAAGUUGCCAGGUUACCAGCAAUUAUUUUAUCAUCAUUUUUUUUUCCAAUGGGAUGAGCGUAGAAGUAAUAAGCUGUAGAGAUGAUGGUAGUUACGUUUUCUUACUUUGAGGUUUCCACUCUUUCCCCCAAGCCAAGUGGCUGUUGGUCUUACAUUUAAUAGAGUGCUAGUUUCCUUCAAAUAAAAGCAAAUUCGUGAGUUUAAAAGGUUUAGCACCUUUCACUGAACAUUAUACAAUGAAAUAAAAUUAAGUUUUGCAUCGGUUUUUAAAUUAAACGCAUCAUAAAAUAAGCUCUGAUGUAUCUAUGCAAUGAGGCACUCACUGUUUCCUCACUCCAUUACUCCCACACUCUACACGGGUCUUUCCCUCAUCUCUGUCACCACCUCCGCUGUCUUGUGCCAGCGGUUUUGCACCGGGAGGGCCUUGGGACUCCGAGGGCUGAUCUGGGCCUUACCACUAGCGUUAUUAAUCUUUAUAGAAAUGAGCCGGCUCGUCUCUAGAGGUGUCUCUGCUUCAGUGACAGCAGAUCUGAGGCAAUGCUCUCCACUGGAACACUCAGUAAUUCUCCCGCUGCCUCUUCCUUGAACUUCAUACAUUUCUUCUUGCUGCCUGUUGUCUGUUCUUCACCGUGGAUCUUGUAGGCUGUAAUAAUUAGAGAGACUGUUUAUAUCAGGUUACAGAAGAACAGGGCCGUGUUCAAGAUGUGUGCUGUUUAUGCCAGAUGGUGCGUUGGUUGGUUUUUAAAGUUGCCCUUUUAGUGAUUUAGUCAUAUCAAGCUGAGUGCAUGCAAUUACUAAUAUGGUAAUUUUUCUUUUUGGUCAUGGUUUUAUCUGUGUUUCAUCAUUUGUUACAGGCCAACAUGAUCAGUGUCAAAGGCUUUUUGUGUUGUUGGCUCAUGAAGCGCUUCUGUUACAUUCUAACUUUCUGCCUGGAGGUAAAAUGAAAUUCAAAUAUGACACAUAAUUCAAAACAGUAAAAUGUUGUAACUCUGUACACAGAAUAUUUUCAAUUGUCUUACUAAAUUACUGUACAAAAGACUUUAGCCAUCCCGAUUUUUUUUUAUAUUUUCCAAUCAAAAUAGAUCAAGCUUUCUUGUAAUUUUUUUUUUAAAUUAUUAAAUAUUGUUCAGGAGUCGUUCUCCAGGGAUCUUGAAGGACAUUCAAAGCUUUUCUGUAAAUGUCUGCGUUUUGUUCUGUUCUCUGUCAAGAUGAUACCACACUGCUUCAAUACUGUUGAUUUCUGAGCUCUGAGGAGGCCCAUGAAUGCCAAAUACUGUUCUAUUGUGUUUUUCUGUCCAGGUAUGCUCUUAGUCCAUUGGCAGUGUAUUUGGGAUCAUUGUAAUGCUGAACAAAGAAGCUGUUCUCAAUCAGAUGAUUUCCAGAUGGAUCAAAAUUUCACUCUGCUUUUCUGCGUUCAUAAUUCCAUCAAUUUUAAACAAAAUCUCCAACACAACUGCCUGAAAUUCAGCCACAAACCAUGACAGAGCUUCCACUGUGUUUUACAGAUGGCUGCAGACACGCUGCUAAUCUUGUCAAUACACUGACAACAGUUUUGAACUGUUUGAAAUCUGGAUUCAUCGCUUUAUAAGGCCUGUUGCAAGUCUAGUUUUUGAGUAAUUUGGCCUACCUCUACAUUUCAUCUUCCACUUCUCCAGUUUCUCCAAAUUAUUUUAAAGACAUAGCACAUCAUGACAAGGAGUGUGUCAGGUUUUUGGCUAAUGGCUCUUUGGGUAUGACCUUGUUGGUAUAAAAAAUAACAUUUGGUGCCUUCAAACUGAGUUACCUUUGACAUUUUUCAUCUUUUUAAAUAAAGAAACUGAAACAAAUUGUGUUUUUGAGGCAGAGUCCAAGUUAAAAAUGACGUAAACAUCCGAUUUAAAUUCACUCUUGUGCGCAAAAAGGCAGCUAAUGCC
ensembl:lncRNA